rnacentral:sRNA from 1 species
CAUGUUCCGUACAACUCGCUUCAACGGCCUACUACUACUAAACGCCUCUUCUGUGCGCGGUAGGCUGGUGUGCGACGUUCUGCGUUAGUCAUCAUCAGUUAAACAAAAACCCGCGCCACUGCGCGGGUUUUUUU